rnacentral:tRNA from 1 species
CAUCAGGUGACUGAAAGCAAGUACUGGUCUCUUAAACCAUCUUAUAGUAAAAUAGCGAUUACUCCUGAUG